UGGUGCGGUGCACUAUGGUGUGUGUACUGUAACUGGAAUAGUUUGGUGUGUGUGAGUAAAUGGUUUGGUGUAGUGUGAGUAAAUGGUUUGGUGCGAUGUGAGUAAAUGGUUUGGUGCAGUGUGAGUGAAUGGUUUGGUGUGGUGUGAGUAAAUGGUUUGGGUGUAGUGUGCGUAAAAUGGUUUGGUGCGAUGUGAGUAAAUGGUUUGGUGCAGUGUGAGUGAAUGGUUUGGUGGUGGUGUGAGUAAAUGGUUUGGUGUGAUGUGAGUAAAUGGUUGGUGCGAUGUGAGUAAAUGGUUUGGUGCAGUGUGAGUGAAUGGUUUGGUGUGGUGUGAUAAAUAGUGGUGCGUUUGGUGGUGUGUGAGUAAAUGGUUUGGUGUUGUGUGAGUAAAUGGUUUGGUGCGAUGUGAGUAAAUGGUUUGGUGUGGUG
rnacentral:lncRNA from 1 species